UAGAGGCAAGGCAACCACGGUAGGGUCAGCGACUGGGGUGAAGUCGUAACAAGGUAGCCGUAGGGGAACCUGUGGCUGGAUCACCUCCUUUCUAAGGAUGAUCAAGAAUAGGGCUUUUUGAAAAAAUCCCUUCCUUUUUGAUCUGAUUAGACACAAAGUUUAAACUUAGUCAGUUUAAACUGUACAUAUGAUACUAACUCUUAACGAAUCCCUCUCACAAAAAAGAGAUCCCUCUUUAAAUCAUGAAGAGGAUCACCCCCCCUCUGUCUCUUUGAGGUUUCUACCUCCGUUGAGAAAAGUAUUUCAUGAGGGGUUAGUGCUCAUGUGUUAACAAUAUAAAAGCGGACGUGCCGUCUUCGUUUCUCUUUCUUCAGAUGAUGAUCCCAAGCCUUCUGGCGAUCUCUUAAAAUAAAGCCUUCCAUGUUUUUAACAAAUAUGGCCUUUAGACACCUCUUUAGAUUCUUAUGAAUAUUAAAGAUCAGGGGUUUGAAAAAAAGAGCUUUAACAAAGAAAGUAACUUAAAAAACUUUCCAUUGAUAUAAGAUGAUACCGGGGAAGGUUUUCCGGUUUGUUCCGGAGGGCUUGUAGCUCAGUUGGUUAGAGCGCGCGCUUGAUAAGCGUGAGGUCGGAGGUUCAAGUCCUCCCAGGCCCACCAAUUACUCUAUCAAUCUACGAGCGCUUGUGAAAUUUACUGAUAGGGAAUAUCCCUUAUCAAUUUUAAGAGAUUUACUUCUGCAAAAUUAUAUUCUCUCUUUUGUUUUAAAAUCCAAAUUUUUAAAAACUAAAGUUAAAGUGGUCUCAAGAUAAAACGGUGUUUUGAGGCAAAGUGCAAAAAAAAAUAACGAUUUAAGUGAUAAAUAGCGGUUUAAGUGAUCUUAAAUUUGAGUGUUUCAAGUGUGUUAUGUUUUUUAGGGGCCGUAGCUCAGCUGGGAGAGCACCUGCUUUGCAAGCAGGGGGUCGUCGGUUCGAUCCCGUCCGGCUCCACCAUUUGGUCAUCAUCAUGUUGUAAGAACACAUUUCCGUGAAGGAUUUAUGAAUCUUUCGCUUGUUCUAUUGAAAUUGUGAAGAGAAGGUAUAUUCAAACAUGUUCCUUUAGGUGUGUUUGUUCUCAAAAGCAGACUUUAUGCUGGAGAACAAUAACUUAAGAAAAGAAAUCUUAAAAAGAAACAUUGUGUCGCAAGGGAAUGCUCAAAGCCUUUGCUUAUGAUUGGAAGCUUAACCGCGCCAUUGAAUAUAUCUCGAGAAGCUGGUCUUUUCUGCUGAUAUUUUUGUUUGUUUUGCGCUUUGUUUUGCACAAGAUAAGGAAAAGCAGACAAACAGAUCAAUAGCCAAAUGACAAAGGAUUUAUGCUUUAUGCAUGAAGAAUUUUUAUUGGUAAAAUUGAAUGAAUAUUGGCAAUGAGAACGAUCAAGUGU
rnacentral:misc_RNA from 1 species